rnacentral:lncRNA from 1 species
AGGCUGUCAAAGGCAAUUGCCACAAGAGGUCAACGCCAAGGCUGCUCUGCAGAUAUGACCAGGGCUCAUUUUUUCCAUGAUCUUAGAGAAACUGGAUAAGCCCGGGGCAAAUCGGGCCCAGAGAUGAGAUGGUAGGACAUUAUGGCAGGCCCUGAAACCCCAGCGUGCCCCAGCAGAGGCCUGUGGUGGCCUCUGGGGAGGUGGGCGGUGGUGGAGGUCCGUGUGAGAGGGCAGCAGCAGCAGCAGAUUAGGCCCUGUGGAAGCCCACUUCCUUCCAGAGACAGUGCCAGGGGAGGAAGGGUCCAGACUGAGGGCAGGACGGGCCAGGGGGUGUGGCAGGCGGAUGCCCCCCUGGGCAGGUGACCUCAUCCACCCCUCCCGUGUCGCCUCCUCUGAUCUGCUCCCUCUGGAGAUGGGGAAAUCCAGAGUAGGGGCAACAGGAAGUAUAUUCCCAAGAAGACUGUAGACCCCCGCACAGGGAAACGAUGGAGCUCAGGAGGGGCGCUGAUCUCGGGAGCCUGGAUCCACCAGUUAUGCAAGUGAUGAAGUGAGUACGCACGGUCCUCGAGGCCAGGGCCGGCGCAGUAAGAACGAACAGGUUGUUCUGGAAAAUUGUCUGGCAGCCUCCCCGCGGCCUGC